CUAAUUGUUGCUCAUUAUUAGGGUUAUUUGGAGAACAACCAUGAUGUAUGGUAUUGACCUCAAUUGCAUUAUUUUUUAAAACUUCCUGAACCCAUUGUUUAGGUGAAAGAUUGUUGAUAUGCUGCUCUUUCCCCAUCCCUUGUUGUAUACCAACUGGAUUCUUUUGUUGAUUGUUGGCUGACUGUCUUUUGGACGAGCUUGGAGAUGUAUUCUUUUGUGCUAUUUGUGAAGCUGAUGCAUGCACUUCCUGUUCCUUUAUCCCAUCUUCCAUAUCUGUGUGCUGAAUCUCCUUGUUGCUGUUAGAUUUUUGAACCGUGUAUUCCUCUAUGACUGCCAGUUGGUUUCUUACAUUUUCCUCAUCAUUUUCCUUUUGUAGCACUUUAAAUUUGUUGGUAGUUUGGAUUUGUUUAUUGAAAUUGGGUUUGUUACCAAUUAAUUCUUUGCUUUGUGAAACUGAGACUUCAGUUUGUUUUUCUUUGUUUAGAGUCCUUUUGUCACGGACCUCCUUCCAUUGAG
rnacentral:lncRNA from 1 species